CUGCAGUCGGAGUUCGGGGCAGAAGUUUGGCUCCCGUAGGAGCUCGGACAAAAUUCGAAAGGUGGUCGACCGUCGUAGAAACUUGGAUGGAGUCCGUCCAUCAUGGAGAUCUGCUGUUGGGAAAGUUUAGCCACUGACAAAGUUCUGGAAGAAAUUCAGAUUGGAGUCGAUCGAAUCCUGUUGGAAAAGAUCCGAAAGAGGUCCAGAGAACGGUUGACCAUUGUAGGAGGUCGGCCGAUAGUGGAAUCCAG
rnacentral:lncRNA from 1 species